UACGGAGGGUGCGAGCGUUGUCCGGAAUCACUGGGCGUAAAGGGCGCGUAGGCGGCCUGAUAAGUAGGGGGGUGAAAUCUUGCGGCUUAACCGCAAGGCUGCCUUCUAAACUGUCAGGCUAGAGCACAGUAGAGGCAGGUGGAAUUCCCGGUGUAGCGGUGGAAUGCGUAGAGAUCCGGAGGAACACCAGUGGCGAAGGCGACACGCUGGGCCGUACCUGACACUGAUGCGCGACAGCAUGGGGAGCAAACAGG
rnacentral:rRNA from 1 species